CAUCUAGGGCACACAUCUAUCACCAUGCCCUCUCUUCCUCUCCCUUUCCCUUUUCCCUUGGCAUCCCACAUGCCCCAUCUUUUGGGGCAUCCCAAGUUCUUCCACGCCCAAGCUGUUGGGCAUCCCCUCCUUUGUUGGUUCCUGGUAUUUGAUAGUAGCACAAAGUUAGGGCGAAAGGUAAAAUAAGAAGAGAAGAAGAAGAUCAGAAAAAGAGAUCAAGUGUUGAUC
rnacentral:lncRNA from 1 species